CCUACGGGAGGCAGCAGUGAGGAAUAUUGGACAAUGGGCGCAAGCCUGAUCCAGCCAUGCCGCGUGCAGGAAGAAGCAUCUAUGGUGUGUAAACUGCUUUUGUACAGGAAGAAACACUCCCUCGUGAGGGAGCUUGACGGUACUGUAAGAAUAAGGACCGGCUAACUCCGUGCCAGCAGCCGCGGUAAUACGGAGGGUCCGAGCGUUAUCCGGAAUCAUUGGGUUUAAAGGGUCCGUAGGCGGUUUAAUAAGUCAGUGGUGAAAUCUGGUCGCUCAACGAUCAAACGGCCAUUGAUACUGUUAGACUUGAAUUAUAAGGAAGUAACUAGAAUAUGUAGUGUAGCGGUGAAAUGCUUAGAUAUUACAUGGAAUACCAAUUGCGAAGGCAGGUUACUACUUAUGGAUUGACGCUGAUGGACGAAAGCGUGGGGAGCGAACAGGAUUAGAUACCCUGGUAGUCCACGCCGUAAACGAUGGAUACUAGCUGUUCGGAGCAAUCUGAGUGGCUAAGCGAAAGUGAUAAGUAUCCCACCUGGGGAGUACGUUCGCAAGAAUGAAACUUAAAGGAAAUUGACGG
rnacentral:rRNA from 1 species